CACGUAGGCGGAUAUGCAAGUUGGGGGUGAAAGCCCGAGGCUCAACCUCGGAACUGCCUUCAAAACUGUAUGUCUUGAGUCCGGAAGAGGUAAGGGGAAUUCCUAGUGUAGAGGUGAAAUUCGUAGAUAUUAGGAAGAACACCAGUGGCGAAGGCGCCUUACUGGUCCGGUACUGACGCUGAGGUGCGAAAGCGUGGGGAGCAAACA
rnacentral:rRNA from 1 species